rnacentral:rRNA from 1 species
UACGAAGGGGGCUAGCGUUGCUCGGAAUUACUGGGCGUAAAGCGCACGUAGGCGGUCUUUUAAGUCGGGGGUGAAAUCCUGGAGCUCAACUCCAGAACUGCCUUCGAUACUGGAAGACUUGAGUCCGGGAGAGGUGAGUGGAACUGCGAGUGUAGAGGUGAAAUUCGUAGAUAUUCGGAAGAACACCAGUGGCGAAGGCGGCGAUCUGGGAAGAUACUGACGCUGAGGUGCGAAAGCGUGGGGAGCAACAGGG